rnacentral:lncRNA from 1 species
UGAACUUUGAAAUUUUGCUUUGUUUCUUCAAAGCCUUUAGUGGUGCCUUCAGUAAUUAUUGGCUUUAGUAUACUGUGGUCACUACUUUGAAUGUAUUCAAACAAUGCCCUUUUCUCUUCUUCGACAGUCUGUUGGACUUGUAACAGACCCCUUCCACCGAUCUUUCUUGGCAAGUAGAGUCUGUCCACAUCACUUUGGGGAUGCAGAGCAUGAUUUAUGGUCAUUAUUUUUCUUGUUUUCCUGUCCAAUGCCUCCACUCGGCCUGGUUCCAUUCAACAACUCCUGCAGUAUACCUGAUGACUGGAAUAGUCCAUUUAUUUAUGGCUUGGAUGGUGUUUUUGCCAUUAAGUUUAGACUUUAGUAUCUUCCUUACCCUUCUGAUAUAUUCCUUACCAACGUUGCACUCCAC